rnacentral:sRNA from 1 species
UGUGAGUGCCCUCCUUGGCCGUUUCCUUCCUAGACUUCGGGCCGCUCCCGAGAGCGGCCUUCUCUUCAUGCGCG